rnacentral:rRNA from 1 species
GAUGAACGCUGGCGGCGUGCCUAAUACAUGCAAGUCGAGCGAACGGACGAGAAGCUUGCUUCUCUUAUGUUAGCGGCGGACGGGUGAGUAACACGUGAAUAACCUACCUAUAAGACUGGGAUAAGUUCGGGAAACCGGAGCUAAUACCGGAUGAUAUUUUGAACCGCAUGGUUCAAAAGUGAAAGACGGUCUUGCUGUCACUGAUAGAUGGAUCCGCGCUGCAUUAGCUAGUUGGUAAGGUAACGGCUUACCAAGGCAACGAUGGAUAGCCGACCUGAGAGGGUGAUCGGCCACAGUGGAACUGAGACACGGUCCAGACUCCUACGGGAAGCAGAAGUAGGAGAUCUUCCGCAAUGGGCGUAAGCCUGACGGAGCAACGCCGAGUGAGUGAUGAAGGUCUUCGGAUCGUAAAACUAUGUUCUUAGGGACGACCAUAUGUGUACGUAACUGUGCACAUCUUGACGGUACCUAAUCAGAAAGCCACGGCUAACUACGUG